UCCUCGGUAGCUCAGUGGCAGAGCAAUCGGCUGUUAACCGAUCGGUCGCUGGUUCGAAUCCAGCCCGGGGAGCUA
rnacentral:tRNA from 1 species